ACAACCCUGGGAUUCCCUCGCCCUCAGAUUCCAGAAUCCAAUUUCUUGGAUUUCAGUGUUUUUAAGGAUUCCGUGAGUCAGGAGCUUGGCCAGGCUCAGCUGGGACACUCAUCUUUGCUUCACCUCAUGUCAGCUGCAGCAUCUUAGGAAUGCAAGACAGCCUCAUUCACAUCCGGCGGCGGGUGCUGGCUGUCCACUGGGUGCCUUCGCUCUUUUUCAAGUGGUUUCUCAUCCUCUGGGGUUUCACUGUCUCCAUGUGGCCUCCCUAGCAAGUUGCUUAGAUUUCUUUACGUGGAAACUGGCUUUCUAGAGGGUAAAAAUGGAAGCUGCAAGGACUCUUAUGGCCCAGAAGUCCCAGAACGUCACUUCUUCCACAAGUCAUAGGGCCAGCCAAGAUUCAAGGGGAAGGAAACAGACUCUGUCUCUUCAUAUUUCAAUGGGACAAAUUGUUGCAGCCACCUUUGGAAACAAUCUACUGCAAUACACUACAGCAGUGGACAUCUGGGCCCUUACCAGGUGCCAGACGCCGUACUAACAGCUUUAUACGGAUGAACUCAUUUAAUCCUCCCAAACUCCAUGAGGUUUUGCAGCCCUUGCCAUGAGUGGCCAGUUGCUGAUAGCAUUGCUGCUGCCUGUUGCUAUUCUGGGAUAGGAACUGAGGAUGUGCUGUGAUUACCCAGACCAGAAGGAAGCUCAGAAGGCACUGGUCCUCUCAGGUGGCACCCAGAUCCAGUGUGAGCCAUGGGGGAUGAAGGGUGGUUAAGUGAAAAGCUUUGGAGUGCUGACAGGUGGUCCCCCUGAUAUGCCAGGAAAUUACUUCCGGGCAAGAGAAACAAAGGAGAGUCCAUCUUCUAAUGUUACUGGCGCCAUACCAACAAGGUGUCAGCUAGAAACCUCUCUCUCUCUCUUGCAAAUUCUAGCCUGCAAAACCUGAGGACUGGCCUCAGGCUAGUCAGAAAUUUGCCUGAAAACAUCAUUCCUUGGGGUGGUGGGACUUCUGGGUAAGCCAGUGUGACUUGAAUUCUUGAUUUCUUAUACUCCCUUCUAACCAACCACCUGAAUGCUGAUCUCUACUAGCUGUCUGUGUGCCUUGCAUUUCAAUCAGCAGCCUUACAAAUGAUGAUGAGGAGAAGGAGGAGGAUGAGGACGAUAGCCAACAUUUACUGUUCUUUUGCUACUGUCCUAAGUACUUUACAAAUACCAGAUAAUUUUUUCUUCAUAACACUGUCAUUACUCCCAUUUUACAGAUGAAGAAAACAAAGCUUAAAUAGAUCACAUGAUUUGGUCAAGGUCACUCAUGUCACAGAGCCUGAAUCCAAAUCCAGUGAAGCCUCCAGAGCCUAGUUUCUACCCAUGACCCUGUGUUGCCUAUUGAUGGUACAGUGUAGGUUUUUUCCUUCUUCCUUUUUCUUUUUUUGAAAGUCUUUAUUGAAUUAUAAUUGGCAUACCAUUAACUGCAAAUAUUUGAAAAAUACAAUUUUAUGAGCUCUGACAUACAUACACCCAUAAAACCAUUGUUACAAUCAAGAUAAUGAAUAUGUCCGUCAUUCCCCAAAAGCUUCCCUGUGCCCCUUGGUAAUCCACCCCUCACUCCCCACCCCAUUCUGUUCCUAGGCAACCAAUCAUCUGUUUUCUGUCAGAUUAAUUUGCAUUUUCUAGAGUUUUAUAUAUGGAAGCAGACAGCAUGUACUCUUUUUUUGUCUGGCUUCUUUCACUCAGCAUAAUUAUUUUUAGGUUCAUCUAUAUUGGUGCACGUAUCAACAAUUCAUUCUUUUCUAUUCCUGAGUACUAUUCCAUUAUAUAGGUGUACUAAAUUUGUUUAUUCAACUCUUGAUGGACAUUGAGUUGUUUACAGUUUUUGGCUAUUACAAAUAAAGCUGCUAUGAACCUUC
rnacentral:lncRNA from 1 species